rnacentral:rRNA from 1 species
UACGGAGGAGGCAAGCGUUAUCCGGAAUUAUUGGGCGUAAAGCGUCCGUAGGUGGUUUUACAAGUCAGCUGUUAAAGCGUGGAGCUUAACUCCAUAAGGGCGGUUGAAACUGUGAGACUAGAGUUUGGUAGGGGUUACGGGAAUUCCCAGUGUAGCGGUGAAAUGCGUAGAUAUUGGGAAGAACACCGGUGGCGAAAGCGCGUAACUGGGCCUGAACUGACACUGAGGGACGAAAGCUAGGGGAGCGAAA